rnacentral:ncRNA from 1 species
GAACGUCUUCAGGGCGGGGUGCGAUUCCCCACCGGCGGUAGGUGCCUUGCGGCACGAGCCCGCGAGCGCUCCCGGCCCCGCCGGGAGGUCAGCAGAUCCGGUCGGAUGCCGGAGCCGACGGUGACAGUCCGGAUGAAAGAAGACGGCC